CAACGCACGAAACUCGACUGACAACACAAACAAUUUCAAAUUUAUUUCGAUUAUAUUGCAAGUUAUACUUCGAUAAACAUAAUUUUAAGGUUAAAUAAUCGUUUAAUACGUGGUAGUAAUAGUUUUUAGUGCAACGUGCACGUCAAAAUGUGUAAAAAUUAAAGAAUUUUGUGAUAAAUCAUGUUGGUGUUGGUUGGAGUAUGCUGCGUGCUGAUUGGCUGUCGUUUGCUCGUCGCCUCGAUGUGCUCAACGUUCGGGAAACAAGUUUUAGUACAUUGCUGGCAUCAUUGAUUAAUGCGUAACGUAGAAAUUCCACUGGUAAACAAUGCGGACUCUAUACUUUUUUCCAGUCGGUCGCGAUGAGCACGACGAAGCUCGGCGAACAAAUGGAACAAACAUUUGUAAGUAACGUACAUAAUGUAAGACGUUACUAACCAACGUACAACUCAAAAUCGAUGAUUAACAAAUUGCCUACAUUCGGGCGUGCACUCCCCACAUUUAUAGAUUAACGAUGCCAAUGAUGCGACAUCACAAGAUUUGCAACGUUUGCAACCAAUUGAGGGAUAUUUUGCAUAGAAAUUACAAGGGUUGAGUUAUUUCAACAAAAUACUUUGUAAAAUUAGGAUAAAAUUUAGUCAACAAUCCGUUUGCAGCAAAAAUUGUUGUUGCUCGACCAAUGUCUAGCUGCAAAAGGCAAAAAAUUUCCGUAAUGAAAUGAAAUACGAACCGCAACACGCCGAAAAACCCAACCUAAUUCGCCAUGAUGAAGCAAAAAGCGAAAAGUGAAUAAGUUGAGAGCAUUUGAAGAGUGUAGCUGGCGAAAAAGCCCACCAAAGAAAUGCGACAAAACAUUGAAGCAUUAAUAUAUUAGCAAACAAGCGAAGAAGUUCAACCGCGAGUUUAAUUUAAUUUGAGGUCAACCAAGCGGGAAAAAAGUGGCCGAAACUAAAUUGGAUAAAGUUCGUCAAAGAAUUAAAAUCUUAAAUAUAACCAAACUGAUAAUUACAAAACGCAAAGCGAAAAAAUACAAAAUUAACGGAGAGGAAAAAACCAGAGGCGAGUGAUGGAAUGAAAUGGACAAAUUGCUUUGAAUUAGCGAUUUGGACAAUGAUAAAAAGAAAUCGAGCACGAGAACAAAAGCACAGUCCUGUUGGAUCGGCAAAAAUCGGCUGGGAGAGGCUGCAAAAGGCUGAUCGACUCGGAUUAGAAAGAUUACUGUCGAUUAAUUUGAUCUCGGUUUGGCUAUUAGGUAUUAACCAGUUAAGCUUUGAGAAAAUACCUAAUUAUAGUUCUUAAGCACAAUCUCCAUGAGAAAAUUAGUUUUAUAUUCAAUUUUCUGCUCGAUUAUUGAGAAAAUGAGUGAAAAAAUGCAACUU